rnacentral:rRNA from 1 species
UGCAACUUAACUGUUGGAAAUCUAGGGAUACUGCUUGUCUUGAGACCGGGAGAGGUUAGAGGAACUCCUAGGGUAGGGGUGAAAUCCUGUAAUCCUAGGGGGACCACCUGUGGCGAAGGCGUCUAACUGGAACGGGCCUGACGGUUAGGGACGAAACCUAAGGGAGCGAGCCGGAUUACAAACCCGGGUAUCCCUAUAAUUAAAUGAUGCUAGUUGAGUGUGGGGGCAUCUACUAGAUGGCCCUGUGUUGUAAGGCAGCCGUUAAACUGGCCGGCUGGUGAGUACGGUCGCCAGGCUCAAACUGAUAUGAAUGCGCGGGGGAGCAACACAAGAGGUGGAGGCUGCGCUUCGAUUGGACUCCACGCCGGAUAAUUCAGCGGGAGCGACAGCAGUAUGAUUGCCAGGUUGAUGACCUUGAUAGACAGAUGAGAGGAGGUGUUUGGCCCCCCGUCACCGACUGCGGGGGGGCGUCCUGUAAAGUCACGCCAUUGCCCACUCUCUUGUUAUCUCGCUGCCAAUGACAUAUCUUUAGGUAUGCUGGGUACACUACACCGCACGCCGCCUGCUAAUAGUGGAAAGAAUGAGAGACGGACGCUGGUCGUAUUUUCCCCAAAACCUCCGGGCUUAACAGGCGACCUAAAAAGGAGACACGAACGAUUGGUCAUCCGAUCCCAGAAAGGCAAAGGCAAUUCCCUCUAAACGUGCUUCUUAAGUUUCGGAUUGAAGGGCUGUCACCUCCGC